AGAAUUCCGGGAACCUAUGUAUGGAGAUUUCUACACUUCCUGGAUUUGUGUCUGGCUGCCAGCUGUAGUGUUUUGGAGGAAGAAGCUGAGUCGGCAGGGCAUCCCUAGGAGUGAGGCCGGUGUUCACUUCUAGUCCACAACACUAGAUUAUUAAUAAUGAAUUGCUUGAUGUCCCCGAAGACUUCUAGAACAAGAAAACCGUUUGCCACAUUCCACACACUUAUAUGGACUGUCUUCAGAAUGGAUUAUUUGAUGUCGUCUAAAAAACAAGUAUGAAUAAAAACAUCUGCCACAUUCCUCACA